rnacentral:rRNA from 1 species
AUACGUAGGUGGCGAGCGUUGUCCGGAAUUACUGGGUGUAAAGGGAGCGUAGGCGGUUUGGUAAGUUGAGUGUGAAAUCUACCGGCUUAACUGGUAGGCUGCGCUCAAAACUACCAAACUUGAGUGAAGUAGAGGCAGGCGGAAUUCCCGGUGUAGCGGUGGAAUGCGUAGAUAUCGAGAGGAACACCAGUGGCGAAGGCGGGUCCCUGGACGACACCUGACGCUGAGGCACGAAAGCUAGGGGAGC